rnacentral:rRNA from 1 species
AGUGAACGCUGGCGGCGUGCUUAACACAUGCAAGUCGAACGAGAACGGGUUAUAGCUUGCUAUAAUUGUCAGCUAAGUGGCGCACGGGUGAGUAAUGUAUAGGUAAUAUGCCUCUUACUAAGGGAUAACAAAUGGAAACGUUUGCUAAUACCUUAUACUCCUUAUUAACAGAAGUUAAUAAGGGAAAGAUUUAUUGGUAAGAGAUUAGCCUGUAUUGUAUCAGUUAGUUGGUGAGGUAAUGGCUUACCAAGACUAUGACACAUAACUGGUUUGAGAGGAUGAUCAGUCACACUGGAACUGAGACACGGUCCAGACUCCUACGGGAGGCAGCAGUGGGGAAUAUUGCACAAUGGACGAAAGGCUGAUGCAGCAACGCCGCGUGGAGGAUGACACAUUUCGGUGCGUAAACUCCUUUUAUAUGAGAAGAUAAUGACGGUAUUAUAUGAAUAAGCACCGGCUAACUCCGUGCCAGCCGCCGCCGUAC